rnacentral:rRNA from 1 species
AUGGCCUUCAAGGACAUCUUCCGCGAUCUCCCUGCUCCAGCCGCGGCCGCCGCGGCCGCCGCCACUGGUCCUCAGCCCUCCGCUCCUGGUCCUUCUCCUUCCCUCACCACUGGCCUCCCUCCUGCAUCCUCUGCCCUGUCCACCUUCGUCUCGCCACCUCUUUCCACUCCCACCGAUCCAUACCUCCUGAACUUUCAUCAAGAUCACAUCUCCAACCACAUAAAGUUCAAGCUCGAUUCCGCUGAACACAACUACAUCAAGUGGCGCACGUUUUUCACCUUCGUCCUCCAACAACAUCGCAUCAUCGAUCACGUCCAGCGCUCACCCCGGGCCGCACCCGACGCCUCCUGGCUCGCCUCGGCACACCGGCCGAUAUUGCGCCGGUUCGGUGCGAGCCGUCUAAUCCCUUCAGAUCGUGUGCCUCAGGCCCGCGCUGGAAGGGGCCCACGCACUGCAACUUUACCUUAUCUAUUCACUGACGCUCCCAUCUGCUCGCUCUUCCUCGCGAAACGCAAUUUUCUCCUAUUCUUCUUCCCCAUCGCACUCGCACCAGACACCAUGGCCCUAGCCGUUCUAGUGCCGCUGCACUCCGAGGCUAUGGCUGCUGCCACCGGCGAUCGUACCACAGAUCGAGCACAUGGUUUCUCUAUACGACGGCGACAUACUCAGGCACAUCUUUUUCCGUUUUUGCUGCAACCGGCACCGCUGGAAGCUCCAAGCAGCGCCAGAGAAGCUGGAACCGUCCUGGAAUUUUGCUACAACCAGGCAGCAGCGAGCCUACCAUCGACUCCCGGAUUUGCUACAACUAGGAAGAUGAUGAAGUGUGGCCGGCGACGACGAGCUGCAAAGUUGUUGCAACCGGCAGCGAAAAAGCUACCACCGGUGACCGAAUUUGCUGCAACCGGCGAGCGGCGGUGCGACGAGUGGCGACAUGGGGUGACCACGGUGACCAGAAUUUUUUGCUACAACGGGUGCUGUUUUUGCUGCCACCGCGGUGACCACGUACUGCAAGCGGUGCGGCGACAGGGAGCUGCGACCUCGAUGACGGAUACUGGAACCGGCAUGAUCCAUCGCAUGGAUGCUGCAACCGUUCGGGGAAAAGCUCCAUCCUCGAUGGACAAAGCUUCAUCCGUCGGGGAAAAAGCUUCAACCUUCAGGAUAGAAGUUGCUUUCCAACGGGAGAUGAACGGGAGUUGCGAAUGGAGGCGAUGGGGCGUGCGCAUGGCAGAGGAUGCCGCGAUCGUGGCUGGAGACCUGCGUGCUGGUGGUGCGGGCGCGCAACGCAUAGGAGAACGAGAUCUACAGGGGGAACAUGAUCUCACCCGCACUCCUCUGUGCAUGGCCUGCGUGCCGCUUCUCUUGGGAGCUCUCUCCUAUAUUGCACACGCGGAUCUCGUCGGAGAACCUGAGGGGUCGCCGUCGAAGGGGAAGGAGUGGAAGAGGACGCUGGCAUGCAAGCUGUACGAGGUGCAGAUCCAGCUAAAGGUCUGCCACGACCCCGCCGCCUGGAGGAGCGGCGCCCGACCCCGCCCGACGCUCGAUCUGAUGCACUGCAGAGGCCACGAUCCAAGCCGCCCCUCAAGCCGGGCGCACGCACAUCCAAGAUCUGGCCCGAAACGCCGCAGCAAGGCACCGUCGGAGGAGGGUGAGCUGGACACGACCACACCGAUCCAGAGCCCGAAGCCCCGACGCAGAUCCACGCAGCCCCGUCAAGCUGCCGCCGAGCUCGACCCUGUAGCAGGCCACCGCUUCCGCGGCUCCACCAUAGGCUCAGCCAACCCCCCUCCCCCGCGCGCAAGCACGGCCACCAGGAGCCCAUGUGCAGCCGUGCCGCAACCGGCCGACGAACGCGAAGCAGCUCACGGGCGAGACGGCCUGGGAAAUCGAAUCGUCCAGCUGCUGCAGAUUGGGGGCGGUCACAUCGAUGAAGGAGAAGAGAGAGAUGGGGUGAACGGAACGAACGCCAUGGGCUGGGAGGGAGGGGGUGGAUCAGAAGGGCUCGUGGUGUGUGCUGGGGCCACGGAUAGAAAGAAGAGCAGGAAGAAGAGGGAACCGGAUCCUCUAACAUCCUCAAGGAUGUCACACGCAUUUCACUGCAGCUUCGUGACAUCCUUUGAGGAUGUUAGAGGAUCCACUUUUGAAAAAGAGCAGCGCUGA